AUUGAACGCUGGCGGCAGGCUUAACACAUGCAAGUCGAGCGGAUGAAUGGAGCUUGCUCCUCGAUUCAGCGGGGAACGGGUGAGCAAUGCCUAGGAAUCUGCCUGGUAGUGGGGCAUAACGUCCGGUAACGGGCGCUACUACCGCAUACGUCCUGCGGGAGACGAUAGUGGAUCUUCGGACCUCACGCUACCAGAUGAGCCUAGGUCGGAUUAGCUAGUUGGUGGGGUAGAGGCCUAACAAGGCGACGAGCCGUAACUGGUCUGAGAGGAUGAUCAGUCAGACUGGAACAGAGGCACGGUGCAGACUCCUACAGGAGGACGCGGUGGAGAAGUUUGGACGAUGGGGCAAAGGGUGAUCGAGUCACGCCGCGAGUGUGAAGAAGGUCUGCGGAUUGUCGAGCACUUAAAGCUGGGAGGAAGGGAAGUAAGUUCAUACCCCGCUGUUUUGACGUUACCGGCAGAAUAAGCACCGGCUAACUUCGUG
rnacentral:rRNA from 1 species